GAUGAAGAACGUAGCGAAAUGCGAUAAGUAGUGUGAAUUGCAGAAUUCAGUGAAUCAUCGAAUCUUUGAACGCACAUUGCGCCCCUUGGUAUCCCGAGGGGCAUGCCUGUUCGAGCGUCAUUUCACCACUCAAGCCUGGCUUGGUGUUGGGCGACGUCCCCUUUGGGGACGCGCCUCGAAACGCUCGGCGGCGUGGCACCGGCUUUAAGCGUAGCAGAAUCUUUCGCUUUGGAAGUCGGGGCCCCGUCUGCCGGAGGACCUACUCGCAAGGUUGACCUCGGAUCAGGCAGGGAUACCCGCUGAACUUAAGCAUAUCAAUAAGCGGAGGA
rnacentral:misc_RNA from 1 species